GGCCCCGAAGUAUUUGCAUAUAUCAGGUUGCAAACCUAAAGAAGCCGAGGAAUUUGGCCGGGGGUU
rnacentral:tRNA from 1 species